rnacentral:rRNA from 1 species
AUGGCCAUCAAAAGAGCGAAAACUGGACAGCCAGGUCCCCUCAUCGGUCAUGCAACACAAGGGUUGGCUGGCGUUGAGGGACAUUUGUGCGCCAGGAAAAGCAAAAAUUCAUACAUGGCGACACCGAGGCGGCUAAGCCAGGGGCGAAAACCAGUUCUGUGGAGCGAACACGGUGCAGGGCGUGACGGCGCCAGGCGCCCCACCGAUCCUCGCUUUGCACCACAUCCACGUCGGCGUGCCCGUGCCGGAGCGGGCGUUGCCUCCCUGGAGGAGUCUCACCUGGACCUCGAACUCCACGGCGCAGACUCUCUCCGCCACCGCUAUGCGGCCGCGCAGGUGCUCGGGCAGGUAAACGCCGUCGUCCCAGCCCCACGCCAGCUCGAACGGCACCUCGCGCGCCCCCUUCCACGGCACACAGAAGUCGGGCGCGUGGCCCGACGCCACGGUGUAGCCGCCGUACGUCACCACUCCCUCCCCGUGGUGGUGGCACCUCUCCCUAGCGCGGCGGUUGCCGGCGUGCAGGACGAUGUCGAAGGCCCGGGGGAUGGACGUCGUCGUGGCCGGAGCCCCCACGCUGUUGUUGCUCGGGAUCGGCGUCAAGUGGACGGAGAACUCAGGUGGCAAGUCGUAGGUGAAGUAGUAGCACAGCGUCCCGGUGGUGCAGAUCAACAUGGCGAAUUCACAGAUCACGGAGAUGAUGUACCGGGGGCAGGUGAGCACCGCCGGCCUCUUGAAGCCGGCGUCGCUACCGCCAAGGACGGGGACACCACGUCCAGGCUUCGCGGCCGGGUACAAUGUUUGCUUGACCAAAUUCAACAAGGCUCGCACAAGUCGGAAGAGAAGAGAUGGCAUGUUGCCGCGUACCGGUUGCAGAUCUUCCCGGCGGCCGGUAGGGAGCGUGCGCAUACUACGAAUUUGUUAUUGUUUGCCUAG